rnacentral:rRNA from 1 species
GGUAAUUUUCCGCAAUGGGCGCAAGCCUGACGGAGCAAGACCGCGUGAGGGAAGAAGGUCUGUGGAUUGUAAACCUCUUUUGAUAGGGAAGAAGACAGUGACGGUACCUAUCGAAUCAGCCUCGGCUAACUCCGUGCCAGCAGCCGCGGUAAUACGGAGGAGGCAAGCGUUAUCCGGAAUUAUUGGGCGUAAAGAGUCCGUAGGUGGGUAACCAAGUCAGCUGUUAAAUAGUGAAGCUUAACUUCAUAGAGGCGGCUGAAACUGGUUGUCUAGAGUGUGGUAGGGGUAGAGGGAAUUUCCAGUGUAGCGGUGAAAUGCGUAGAUAUUGGAAAGAACACCGGUGGCGAAAGCGCUCUACUGGGCCUGCACUGACACUGAGGGACGAAAGCUAGGGGAGCGAAAGGGAUUAGAUACCCCUGUAGUCCUAGCCGUAAACGAUGGAUACUAGGCGUUGCCCGUAUCGACCCGGGCAGUGUCGUAGCCAACGCGUUAAGUAUCCC